ensembl:lncRNA EPB41L4A-AS1 EPB41L4A antisense RNA 1
CCUUUUGGUGCGAGCUUGCUGUGGUUUUUGCUCUGGGUCCUCUGGGAUGGCGCCUGGCUGUGGCCGCGUGGUCUCUCACGCAGGGGCGCCGGGCGGGGGAACGCGGCCACCCUGAGUCUGGUGAGUCGACUGCGGCGGCCUGUGUCCGAAGUGUCCGGGGCCGUGAACAAGGGCAGCGGCCUGGCCUCAGGCCUGCGUUCCCACGUUUGGAAACGGGGAGCUUCGUCGAUUUGUGUUUACAUCAUCGACUAUGCCAGGGAGUUCUCCAGAUAAGCCUGGUUUUAUUUUCGUCAGUGAAAAGGCCUUACCGUAUAACUGACUUUAUGCUUGCCCUGCCCCCGUAUAAAAUAACUUAAAAGCAGCGUGCCUGGUUACAGCUGUUUCCACGUGCGGUGCUCGUCGGGAGUGAUCACCUACCCUACAGUUCUAAUUUUUGUUCAGGUGGAAGAUGGAUGCCUGAAGUGUAGACUGCUGCUAGCUGAAUACCAUCUGGGAGCAUAAAGGUGACCUGAAGGAUGUCCUUGGUGAGGAUUUUGAAAAUUUGAUCUUCACAAGAGUUGCCUGGAUCAUUUGAAAUUUCUGGGAGUCUGAGGAGUACUGACAUAAUUACCUGCUGGAGUCUGUAAAUACACAUUUAAGACAGUGAGGAUGUGAAUAAAUAUAUUAAUGCACUUUGGCAUUUGUGUUUUAAGUGAUUAACUGCCAGAAACAGCUAUUUCUAAAAAGUUAUAAGGGAGGAGGGGUUCUUUUUUGAUCAGUAUUCACUGCUGUCACCAUAAUUAAUAGCCUUAAAAUAGCUUGUGUUUGGCCCAAAGAGAAAUGUACUUUCUUCCAGUGACUCAAAAAUCGUGGCUAGAACUAGACUGAUUUCUAGUGACAGGUGUGCUUUACUGCACUCAAUGCGUAUUUUUCCUCCAACUAAAUUGUACAUUUAAUGUUGCCAUAUCUUCUGCCUUUGCUUUGCAGGAAACGACAAAUAAUGUAUAGAGGUAUUCAAAAAAUUUAUUGAAAGCACUGUACUAGGAGCUGAGAACACGAUGAUGAGCACAACACAGUUCUUCCCUUUGGAAACAUAGAUAAGUGGAGGGAAUGUCAUCACAAAUGUAAAACUUCACUAUGAGAUGAGUUCCGUGAUAGGAUUUUCUUAGGGAAACCUGAGAAAGAGUUGAGACUAAAGGUAUGUGUCAUAUUUUUCACAAGGCAAAACUGGGGGAAUGACAUAUACAGAGGCUUGGGCUAGAAAAAAGAUACCGUUAGUCCACUUACUUUUGAGACAGUUUUGGCUGCUUUCCCUCUUCAGUGCCCUGUUUUAGAACUGAGUCCUUACUGAGGCUUGUAAGAUGGCUAUUAUGGGAGGUGAGAGUGUUACAAAAUGAGGCUGAAGAGGUAGGUAAAGAAGCCAGACCACUUCAGGCUCCCUCUGGCUUUAUUAAAGCAAGAUAAAUCCAUGGUGGAAAAUCAGAUUUGCAAGAAAAGGUAGUUGAACUAGGUUGCUUAUUGUUGUCUAGACAAGAGACCAGCUUGGACUAGUAAAAUUAGUGAAAUAAGAUCGUUUAUAGUUGGAUGACAGAGCCAACUAGACGUGGUAAUAGUGGAGGUGUCCAUAACUGCUAGGUGUCCAGCUUGCACACUGAUGAGCAUAAUGACCCUAGAUUCAGCUGGGGAGCAGCAUUUAAACAGCUGAAUUUUUAAAUUACCUUUGAGAAACCCAAAUGGUCUUUUUGCAGUAGCACAUUACUCAGUAGUCUAAACUACAGAAAUAAACCUUAAGGCCAUGGGUAUAAAUGAGAUCUGCUGGUGGUAGAGGAAGAGGGCCUAGGGUCUGAAGUUUGAGAAACUCCACUAAUUAAUGGCAAGGUAAAGCAUGAUAAGCCAGAAAGGAUGGUCAGUGGUAGGAGCAAAAUAGGAUUAUAUUAAAGAAGCAAAAGAAUGUCCUAAAAAUUCUCCCUGGGAUUAAGUAACACAGUGAUUGAUAUUAGUGGAGUAGAGGGAAAGAUCCAUGUUAGAGAUAGCUUAAGAUAGGGAUUAGAUGAAUUGAGGGCAAUGACUAAAGAUACUGCUUGCAAGAAAACUGGCUGAGAAUGAGAGGAAAAUCUUAGUUGCUUGGCGGGAGGGGGUUUGUGGUUGUGAAAGAUAGUUUUGUUUAAUCUUAGUCUUAAAUUUAAAACCAAGUAGCAAGGAUCUAGCUGAGAGAAUAAUUGAAUACAUUAAUAUAGGAGGACAGACAAAGAUCCUGAAAAGGCUGGGAGAAGAGCAUCCAAAGCACAGGUGGAGAGACAAAAAGGUUAGGGCUGCUGGCAGCUGUGGAGAGAACUGUACGUGGUAAGGGGGAGAUAUAAGAUGUCCUGCAUAAGUAUUUUCCCUGUAGAUUGCAAAGUCAUCUAUGGAGAGGAAAGGUACAAAAUAGUCACUGGGGAGAGCAGGUGAAUUAGAUGGCCAAGCAGGGUGGAUGGAUCAUUUGAGGUUUGGGGUGACAGAUCAACUGAGAUCCACUUACACUUCUGAAAACGCAAGAACACUUUAGAAAUUAACAACACUUAAAGCUUUUUACAUCAUUUGUAAAUAACUGGUGGAACUUAACACCACAAAAUAAAGUAUUAUAAAGAACUUUAUAUGAAUAA